UAGGGAAUCUUCCACAAUGGACACAAGUCUGAUGGAGCAACGCCGCGUGAGUGAAGAAGGUUUUCGGACCGUAAAGCUCUGUUGUUGGUGAAGAAGGAUAGAGGUAGUAACUGGCCUUUAUUUGACGGUAAUCAACCAGAAAGUCACGGCUAACUACGUGCCAGCAGCCGCGGUAAUACGUAGGUGGCAAGCGUUGUCCGGAUUUAUUGGGCGUAAAGCGAGCGCAGGCGGAAGAAUAAGUCUGAUGUGAAAGCCCUCGGCUUAACCGAGGAAUUGCAUCGGAAACUGUUUUCUUGAGUGCAGAAGAGGAGAGUAGAACUCCAUGUGUAGCGGUGGAAUGCGUAGAUAUAUGGAAGAAUACCAGUGGCGAAGGCGGCUCUCUGGUCUGCAACUGACGCUGAGGCUCGAAAGCAUGGGUAGCGAACAGGAUUAGAUACCCUGGUAGUCCAUGCCGUAAACGAUGAGUGCUAAGUGUUGGGAGGCUUCCGCCUCUCAGUGCUGCAGCUAACGCAUUAAGCACUCCGCCUGGGGGAGUACGACCGCAAGGUUGAAAC
rnacentral:rRNA from 1 species